GAUGAACGCUGGCGGCGUGCUUAACACAUGCAAGUCGAACGGUGACCCUGGAGCUUGCUCCGGGCGAUCAGUGGCGAACGGGUGAGUAACACGUGAGUAACCUGCCCCAGACUCUGGGAUAACAUCGGGAAACCGGUGCUAAUACCGGAUAUGAGACGAGACUGCAUGGUCAUCGUCUGGAAAGAUUUAUCGGUCUGGGAUGGACUCGCGGCCUAUCAGCUAGUUGGUGAGGUAAUGGCUCACCAAGGCGACGACGGGUAGCCGGCCUGAGAGGGCGACCGGCCACACUGGAACUGAGACACGGUCCAGACUCCUACGGGAGGCAGCAGUGGGGAAUAUUGCACAAUGGGCGCAAGCCUGAUGCAGCAACGCCGCGUGGGGGAUGAAGGCCUUCGGGUUGUAAACCCCUNUUAGCAGGGAAGAAGCCGAGAGUGACGGUACCUGCAGAGAAAGCGCCGGCUAACUACGUGCCAGCAGCCGCGGUAAUACGUAGGGCGCAAGCGUUGUCCGGAAUUAUUGGGCGUAAAGAGCUCGUAGCCGGUUUGUCGCGUCNUGCUGUGAAAGUCCGAGGCUCAACCUCGGAUCNUGCAGUGGGUACGGGUAGACUGGAGUGUGGUAGGGGAGACUGGAAUUCCUGGUGUAGCGGUGGAAUGCGCAGAUAUCAGGAGGAACACCAAUGGCGAGGGCAGGUCUCUGGGCCAUAACUGACGCUGAGGAGCGAAAGCGUGGGGAGCGAACAGGAUUAGAUACNCUGGUAGUCCACGCCGUAAACGGUGGGCACUAGAUGUGGGGCUCUUUCCAUGAGUUCCGCGUCGCAGCUAACGCAUAA
rnacentral:rRNA from 1 species